rnacentral:rRNA from 1 species
GAUGAACGCUGGCGGCGUGCCUAAUACAUGCAAGUCGAGCGAACAGAUGAGGAGCUUGCUCCUCUGACGUUAGCGGCGGACGGGUGAGUAACACGUGGAUAACCUACCUAUAAGACUGGGAUAACUUCGGGAAACCGGAGCUAAUACCGGAUAAUAUAUUGAACCGCAUGGUUCAAUAGUGAAAGACGGUUUUGCUGUCACUUAUAGAUGGAUCCGCGCCGCAUUAGCUAGUUGGUAAGGUAACGGCUUACCAAGGCAACGAUGCGUAGCCGACCUGAGAGGGUGAUCGGCCACACUGGAACUGAGACACGGUCCAGACUCCUACGGGAGGCAGCAGUAGGGAAUCUUCCGCAAUGGGCGAAAGCCUGACAGAGCAACGCCGCGUGAGUGACGAAGGUCUUCGGAUCGUAAAACUCUGUUAUUAGGGAAGAACAAAUGUGUAAGUAACUAUGCACGUCUUGACGGUACCUAAUCAGAAAGCCACGGCUAACUACGUG